GCACCUCUUCACACUAGGGGCAAAUCCCUCAAUGUUGGAGAGACUCUAGAAAGAAAUCCCUUCACUUCUGGGAGAUGCAGAGGAAAGGGCUAAUUCCUCUCACCCAGGUGGUCCUGGGAGGGACAUCUCCUCAAGACCCUGCAGGAAAACAGAGGGAAGGUUCUCCAGCUCAAGCCAGUGUGUCAACAAGGGAGUUAGGCUCACGACCUCUCUCUGGGCGAUAGUUGAUAGUCCGCAUCAUUGUCCUUCUAUAGAUGUGAGAAUGGGUCGCAUUUUAACUAAGAGCUGAGUGUUCCUGACGCCAUAGAAAGGCUCUUGGAGUCCAAGCAAUUUCUGUGGAUUGACCCUCUGACCUUCUCUUCACUUUCCGCCCCUUUAUCACUAAAGAAAAAAAAAAAGCUGUGAGUAAUGGGGGUAAAGGGACACCCGUCUCUCCAUCUUUUUCAAACCUGGGGGAAGGUUUAUAGGUCAGAAUGGUGCGUUUGCAAAGUGAAUGAUGGGCUAUUGUGGUAUCUGAGAUGAAUUUAGUUGGUAGAGGGAUGAACAUUUAAGCAGACUUAAGUGGAGUAUUUUUAAUAUGUGUUAAAAUUUUAACUAGUGCAUUAAGCCAGUGAUUCCUUGGCUAUUAUUGCUUAGGAUGAGGCUAAAACAGGGCCAAUUAAAGAUAAGUGUUAAGUUAAUAACAAUACAGGUGGCACCUGGACACAGCAGACAUAAUGAAGGCGGAACCCAAAUGGCUGAAGGGUGGGAAAUCUUGAUUUACAACAUCACCGAUCUUUUGAGCGCCUUCUCUGUGUACAAGCCCUUUAUAGAGAUUAUUUUACAAUUUAUAACCCACUGCAUGACAGGCAUCAUCAUUCCGGUGCCCUGUGGCAGAUAAGAAACAGCAGAGAUGACCCCCCCCUCCCUGAGGUUACAGAAGUGGUGGGGACUCAAACCCACGCCCGUCUGAUGUCCCAGCGGGGCUCUUUCUGUUGGAUGGUGCUUAGUCAAUCAGGGAAAACUAGGGUAGGAUGUGGUUGGGUUCUAGGGAAGAUCUACGGUCCCAGGCUGCUCGGGUGUGUGGUCCUGUCUCCCGGUCUGUAAUUUUAGCCCGAGUCCCGGCCACAGGCUUUGCGGCUUCAUCGCUCAGUCCACAAAUACACCUCUCCUGCCUGGUUGUUCGCUGCGAUCUCUGGGUCUCAAAACUGUAGCUAGCACGAUGUCCAUGCGUUUUGAGGCAUUCUUCUGUCUUCAAAGCAACGAAAGAAACUGGCAGUCCCUCCACGUCCCCCCACUCUGCCCUGUGUAAGGAGCAUAUUCCUAAGAGACUGAGUUUACUGACAAUUUUCCGUUGGCCAGUUAGGAGCGGCACGACCUUAAACACGGACUCCUGAAUCCUCUUAGUUUGUGAUGAUGAGUUCCAUGACUCAUUAUUAUUCUUGUAAAAAAGAAGCACCAGGAAGAACAAACAGACCAUCCUGACUUCCUCGCCUCCUUCUUUCUCGAUUACUCGACUGUCACACGUCCUUAUGCUGUUUGAGUGAAGUUAAAUCAUCUUAAGGAUUUCGGAAUCAAUCCACCCAUCACUAUGUUUAUGCGCCCCCCCCCCCCCAUUGUGCGCAAAGCGCCUAAGGAGAGUCGAACGGGGAAUCUGACUUGGGAAUUCUGGAGUGAUGGGUCCAGGGUGUGAAGCGACUUCCACAAUCAGCUCGCCCGAGACGCGAAAAAGUAAGACGAUCUGGGAAAGGCUGUUGGCCUUCCUAAAAUAAAAGAUACAUACUUUCCUUCUGGAGAAGCAAGGCAGCCAUGGCUGAACCCAGCCUGGAGCCCUCACCACCUCUCAGGCCGGGCAAAGGCUACGCGACCGGGAGGUGGGCAAAGCCAGUUCGGGCAAAGCGAGACACUUUUUGCUCAAAGGGAGCAGGGACGUAGAACGAGUGGCAGAGUCACCGUGAGCAGGCAGCACGUGGAAGCAAAGACAGGAGGAGCCGUGGAUGGAAGAGGAGCUCAGAGAUUCAGCAGAGAGAAUGUUAACAGCCCAGACAGAAAGAGUUCUGUGCUGCCUCACAGCAAGGAAAGGGACGCGCGCGAGAGAAGGGAGGGCGGUCUCUGCUCUAGACCACGUUGCACGGCUGUUGGUUCCUCCUCUGCAGGGCCGGAAAUCCUCUGGGGGAGACGCGGGGGCCCCCCAGCACAGAGGGGAGGAAGGCGAGGAAGGAGCAGGGGAGGAUACACACAGAGUGAAUUUCUUGCUGCCCCUGGAGACCAUGAUUCCUUUCGGUGACAGCAGAGGUUAAUAUCCUGAGCAGCAAGCCACCGCUCGGCCCAGAGACACCUCGCUCGGAGCAGCUGUUUUAGUGUCCUGUCAUGGAUUUUAUUGAACUAUAUUCCCUGAAAGGGCCAAUCCCUCUCUCCAUUUGGAGGCUCUUAGCACAGCUUUCCUGAAAAGUUCAAGGACUUCUCCUAUCACGCUCCACCUGUCUGUAUCCACGCACAGACUGUCCCACCCCCUCGAUCCCAGUAAAGACCCCAGUCUCCUAGGAAUUUCAAGUUCGCACAGACGCUCCUAUUUACCCUGCACAAGGGGGAAAAAAAAAUUAAAAGGUUGUAACUUCUUGAUUUCCCUUGUCUCCCGCUGUGUGUCUACCCCUAACAGGUGGCCCUGUCCCUCCUCAUUCUUCAGCAGACUGAUUCACUUCAAAAGCAGCAAUGGAGGCAGGCAAAUAUUUGCUGAUUCUUAUUUUCAUCAAGAAGGGAACGGGGGUGGGGGAAUG